rnacentral:rRNA from 1 species
CCUGGGCUACACACGUGCUACAAUGGGAAGUACAACGAGUCGCGAAGUCGCGAGGCUAAGCUAAUCUCUUAAAGCUUCUCUCAGUUCGGAUUGUAGGCUGCAACUCGCCUACAUGAAGCCGGAAUCGCUAGUAAUCGCGGAUCAGCACGCCGCGGUGAAUACGUUC